AUUGAACGCUGGCGGCAUGCUUUACACAUGCAAGUCGAACGGUAACAGGGAGCUUGCUCCGCUGACGAGUGGCGAACGGGUGAGUAAUAUAUCGGAACGUACCCAAGAGUGGGGGAUAACGUAGCGAAAGUUACGCUAAUACCGCAUACGAUCUAAGGAUGAAAGCAGGGGACCUUCGGGCCUUGUGCUCCUGGAGCGGCCGAUAUCUGAUUAGCUAGUUGGUGAGGUAAAGGCUCACCAAGGCGACGAUCAGUAGCUGGUCUGAGAGGGCGACCAGCCACACUGGAACUGAGACACGGUCCAGACUCCUACGGGAGGCAGCAGUGGGGAAUUUUGGACAAUGGGCGCAAGCCUGAUCCAGCAAUGCCGCGUGAGUGAAGAAGGCCUUCGGGUUGUAAAGCUCUUUUGUCAGGGAAGAAACGGGAGUGGCUAAUAUCCAAUCCUAAUGACGGUACCUGAAGAAUAAGCACCGGCUAACUACGUGCCAGCCGCCGCUGUAAUAC
rnacentral:rRNA from 1 species